rnacentral:tRNA from 7 species
GGCGGCAUAGCCAAGUGGUAAGGCAGGGGACUGCAAAUCCCUUAUACCCCGGUUCGAAUCCGGGUGCCGCCUCCA